rnacentral:rRNA from 1 species
UACGUAGGGCGCAAGCGUUGUCCGGAAUUAUUGGGCGUAAAGGGCUCGUAGGCGGUCUGUCACGUCGGGAGUGAAAACACGGGGCUUAACCCCGUGCCUGCUUCCGAUACGGGCAGACUAGAGGUAUGCAGGGGAGAACGGAAUUCCUGGUGUAGCGGUGAAAUGCGCAGAUAUCAGGAGGAACACCGGUGGCGAAGGCGGUUCUCUGGGCAUUCUUGACGCUGAGGCGCGAAAGCUGGGGGAGCGAACGGG